GCGGGCGUAGCUCAGCGGUAGAGCACGGCGUUUACACCGCCGGUGUCGGAGGUUCGACUCCUUCCGCCCGCACCA
rnacentral:tRNA from 1 species